rnacentral:tRNA from 4 species
AGCAUCGUGGACGUAGCUUGCUUCCCGAAGGGUAUAGAGAAGUCGCCGUGCCUCUCAAGCAUGGAGAAGCGGGUGCAACCCCCGUCGAUGCUCCCA